UGGGGAAUUUUGGACAAUGGGGGAAACCCUGAUCCAGCCAUCCCGCGUGUGCGAUGAAGGCCUUCGGGUUGUAAAGCACUUUUGGCAGGAAAUAAACGUCAUGGGUUAAUACCCCGUGAAACUGACGGUACCUGCAGAAUAAGCACCGGCUAACUACGUGCCAGCAGCCGCGGUAAUACGUAGGGUGCAAGCGUUAAUCGGAAUUACUGGGCGUAAAGCGUGCGCAGGCGGUUCGGAAAGAAAGAUGUGAAAUCCCAGAGCUCAACUUUGGAACUGCAUUUUUAACUACCGGGCUAGAGUGUGUCAGAGGGAGGUGGAAUUCCGCGUGUAGCAGUGAAAUGCGUAGAUAUGCGGAGGAACACCGAUGGCGAAGGCAGCCUCCUGGGAUAACACUGACGCUCAUGCACGAAAGCGUGGGGAGCAAACAGG
rnacentral:rRNA from 1 species